GGGCGCAGCACCCCGGGGAUCCCUGCGAGAGCAGCGCAUGCUGCAGCACAGCCCACAUGGGGCUGCCCGGUAAUAGCCCUGCAGCUCCCUGGUGGUCUAGUGGUUAGGAUUCGGCGCUCUCACCGCCGCGGCCCGGGUUCGAUUCCCGGUCAGGGAACGUCUCUUUUUCUUCCUCUUUCCAGUCGAGUUUCACCCCCUUGGAGCCAGUGCGCGGCUUCGUUGUUGCAUUGCCCAGUUUUGCAUUGCAGCGCUCGGCACCGCACCGGGUUUAACACCGCGAUUGCGACCCCCGUCUCCCAGGGAUUCCACCCCCGCCGGCCUCGAGGACGCCCUGUGCGCAUGCGCUGCUCUGGAAGGGGAGGGGGCGAAGGGAGGGGGCGUGGCUGCUGCGCGCGCACCUCCCUCAGCCCCGCCCCCACUCGGUGUGGCUGCCCCGCGCAGCGGGCGGAGCGGACCAGGCCCAGAGGCUUCUCUGGAGGCGAGCCCAUCGCGCCUCACAUGAUGUUUCCUGUGCACAUCUGCACCACUGUUGUAUUUCUGAGAUGAACUUGCAGAAAGUUCCCUGCCCAUACCUGUCAAGUUUGGAAGUGGAUUUAUCAAGCCCAGGAUGGGUGCUUUCUUGUUGCCUGUGAUUCUUCCUUCUUUCUCGGUAUGGGUAUGUUAUUGGAUUUAUUUGGCAUCAGCUCCUUAUUAAGUUGUUUUAGUGCUUUUGAAGAGGUGACAUCCCCCCCCCCCCCAAAAAAAAAAAAGUCCUCUGUUGUAGCAUGGAAUAGAUGCUAUAUUUACAGAGGCAAUGCGAUCUUUUCUCUGCUCCCAGGCGAGUAAUCUCCAAGGUGAUGUGGAGGCAUCGCCUCUGCGGUCAGUAGGUGGUUAUUUCUUUC
rnacentral:tRNA from 1 species